UGGGAUUGGGAUCCUUUGGUGUGGAUGUUGGAGUUGCGAGUUCCUUGGGGUGCCUGAGGGGUAGAGGAUGAGGAUUUGGGACUCUGAGUGGGAUUUAGGUUGGGUUGGGGAUGGCUUGAGGUGAACUGGGAUAACAUGAGAGUUUGGGACCUGUGGGGUGGGAGUAGGAUUUGGGGGUGUCUGGGGUGCUCGAGGGGUGUAUGGGGGGACUUGUCAGUCCUGAUUGAGGGGGGCUGUGUGUGUGUUUGGUUUCAGGGCGUCUGGUUUUAUUGAAGAGUGUGGGAAAGGGGUUCUUUUGGGAAUUUUUGGAUGCUUAACAUGGGGGAGAAGAGGUGGGAGUGCUGUGAGUGGAGCAGGAUGGAUGUGGGAAGGGUCCUUAGUUGUAUGGACUGGUGAGGGUACAGGGGUGAGCUGGUGGGCUUUGGGAGGCUUCAGCUGGGUGGGGUGGGUGCAUUUUUGGGAACAGGUAUAAAGUGUCUGGUGUUCCUGACAGAUUAAGGUGAGGCAAAGUUUCAGAGCCUCACAGAGUUGUUAUGGUGUGGUUUGGAGGCCUGUCCAUUGGGACAGUGGGAUUGAUGGAAUGCUGGGGUUUGAGGUUUGUGUAACAUGCUUCAUUCCUGAUAAUUCACAGGAGUUUGUGUAGACAGGAGAUUUGUGAUGGUAAAGGUUUUCUACAUGCUUCCCUUUAGGGAUAAAGAUAAAGCCUGGAGGAUUUAUAGGAGCCUGUAAGCUCUGGAUAUGCACAAAUCCUGUUUUAAAAUUUGAGAUAACACCGUGGUUUCAGACUGCUUUAAUUCACUGCUCAGUCUGGAGAGUGGCUCUUGUUGCUGGGGGUCUGUGAUGUAGCUGGUCAGCACUGCUGGGGGCGUGGAGGGGGAGAAGUUGGGAUGGAGCACGUGGAUACAACUCCUGCAAUCUUAGAAGAUGAGAAUUUAACAGUGGUUUGGAUUUGCUUGUUUAUAUAUGUGAGAAGAGGGUAAAAUCCACCUUGUGAUCCCACAGAGAUGUAGUAACUCUCCCUCAUGAACCACAUCCCAGCUGUUUUCUUUUCUUUGGACUGAAGCCAACCCUUGAGCUGCAGCUCUGUUAAAGGUUUUGUGUUUGAUUGAGUCAAGCUGAAUCUCUCUUGUAGUCCAGCAUCCCACCUGUAGCUGUCCAUGACUCUGGAGAUUGCCUACCUGAGGAAAGAUGCUUUAGUGCGUUAGUUAUGGUCAUGUGUGAAGCUGUCACAUGUCCAAAAAACUUCACAGACUGCUUCAGGACCAUGGUAACAUCCACUAAAGCUUUCUGCUCUCCAUUCAGGAGGAAGGUCAGGACUGGAAAAAAUAGUUGGAUGUUGUUGUGUUUGAGGCUUGGAUACAGAAAGAAAGGAAAUGUGGCUCUGAACAGGGAGGGAAGUCAAAUACUUGAGAGAAAUCCUGGUUAACAAGAUAUGUCUCGUUAGUGUUGUGCUGUUCCUGGAAGGAAACUUUCUUCUUUUGAUGGUUAGAUAGAAUAAUUUCUGAAAGAGGUGUGUUUUAACAUCAUUCCCCUCAUGAACUAUGCACUGGUUUCCAUUUGCUCUCUUUUGAGUAGAUUGUUUCCUAAGUGCAGGCAGUCAAGCAGGAGUUUAUGGAGCAUGUGGGGAAGUGUGGGCCUGGUGAGUUGGGUUUAAUCUCCUUACCCAGAGGAGUUGUGUAACAGUGUAGUAAAGUGCAAGGGGUCUGAUUAAGGCUGCCUUGAUAAUCCCCAGGCAGACACUGGAGAGAGUUGUCUGCUGCUUAGGAGGUGAGGGAGGGAGGAAUUGUGCUUCAGGUAACCUAGACACCUACUAUGGAAAUACACCAAAGAACUGUUUGUUCUAAUGGUGGUAAAUGUGUGCUGUUUGAGUCCUGCACUAAACAGUUUUAUUUUAAAGUGUUGUUGGGUGUACAGAUGGUUUAAAUAGUGAAAAAUCAACUUUCUUUGCUUCAGUCAGAAAUUACAACUUGUUCUCCUGAAACAAUUGGUCAAAAUACAUCUCAGUGUUCUGGCUGCUUUGUACCAGUGAAAUCUCAGUGGUCUGAUGUUGGUGUGAUGUUAUUCAUUGUGAGUACAGCAGGAUUUGAUAUCUACCCAGUCCAGGGACACGAGUACUUUGCCCACGUUCGGGACCCAAGGUCAAAGACCUGCCACGUACAGGUGGUUGCAGAUCUUUGUGCUCCUGACCCUGAGCAAACAGAAGGAGCCUGGAGGAGGAAAGGGCAGUAGAUGUGGAACAGGAGCAGCAUCCAGUCACUGGGUCACAGACAGGCACACCUUGACCAGUUUGUGACAGUUUGUCACGGGUGACGUGGCAAAAGUGGCUUGCAAGUAGUUAAAACUGCCAGGGAGGGGACACUGGUGACUGUCACAAACUCAGAGCACUCUGUGCAAGGAACAAGAGGCUUGUGACAAAGGAGGAGGAGAACCCAAAGCCUCCUUGGAGGGUGCUUUGUCCCAGGAAGGGGUAUGGAUUCAUUUCUGCAGUGAAGUCUGGCUGUUAAUUUGGAAUUGGCCUGGUGAGGACCCACAGCAGAUAUUUCUCAGGAGAUCAGAGGAUCCCUCUGAUGGGCAGCUGAUACUCAGGGACAGCCUCGUGCCCUGCACCAGGGAGAUAUUAUGUGAGCUGCUGUGUUAGUCCUCUGGAUCCUCAUGGUAUGUCUGAAGGACAGAUCUCUGCAUGUUCUGAAUGUACCAGGUUGUCCUCAUGAAUACUCCAGUGGAGGAUGUCCCUGAUCUUCUUUGCCUGCGUGGUGAGGGUGAGGGACGGGCUUCCCCUCUCGGCCUCCACGGAUUUUCAUUUCAACCAGGAUUUUCUGGAAUGCAGGAAGAGAUUAAAGGCUUUGUCCUCAGGCCUGGCACGGUACCCAAGUCGAGGCACAGCAAAGGGACGUGACCUCAGCAUCCAGUAAGUCCCUGGUUGAUUUAUUCUUUUUUUUUUUGGGGGGGCUUUUGUUUUUGAAAGAAUUAUCUUGGGAAUUAGGAGAAUUUUGGGUAUGGUCUCUAGGGCCUGAGUCCAGUCUGAAACCCCACUGUGCCUGUCUGGGUUGUCAGCUCCAGG